AUGUUCGACGGCAUGGGCGGUACAGCCCGUGAUAAGCUCCUGCUGGCGGUAUGCCGUCCUGUGGUGGACAAGCAGCGCAGUCUUCUUCCACUGCUUUCCUUCGACUUAAGUGGAUCCUUGGACUGGCACCUCACCGGCUGCGCGCUCCUCACCGACGAGGACCAUGGUGUCAUUGAUUAUUUGGAUCAACGACGAGAACGGUCGUCGUCGUUUCAAGUGUUCUUGACCUGCACCGGCGACAAUGGGAUCAUAUAUGUCUACAUGUACUCCUCUGCCACGGAUACUUGGAGCACGCCCACCAAGUUUUGCCAGGCUUCACACCUCAUCAGGUGUGGACCAUUCGCCGGCGUUGUCACCCGUAACACCGUGCACUGGUUGUACAAGGACGAGACAAGUUUCUACACCCUCGAUGUAAAGGCUAUCACCACAGAUGUCUCUCUGACCAAGAUCCCGAUCCACGUCGAAGCUUGUCGGCAGUGGGGGCGGGUGUUGUUUCCGUGUGUCUCCGGGGAAGGAAAUCUUUCGUUCGUCAGUAUGCGGAACCAUGGUAUAUUAGUGCUUUGGACCAAGCAAGAACAAGAUGACGACGGCUAUGGCCGCGAGGCUAGCUCAAGAGGGUGGUUGGGAGCCGACCUGAUAAAUCUAGGAAGCAAGGACGAAAUAAACAACGUCUUCUACGCAGAGAGAAGAGGUGCCAUGCUUAUCGAGCGGUGUGGUGGUUCUUUUUUCACCAUUGAUCUCAAGAGUAAGGAGAAGGCGUACAUUGAUAUCAAGGCGAGGAAACGCGGAGUCAUUCAAGAGAUAUCGUAG
rnacentral:rRNA from 1 species